rnacentral:rRNA from 1 species
GGGGAAUAUUGCACAAUGGGCGAAAGCCUGAUGCAGCGACGCCGCGUGCGGGAUGAAGGCCUUCGGGUUGUAAACCGCUUUUAAUUGGGAGCAAGCGAGAGUGAGUGUACCUUUUGAAUAAGCACCGGCUAACUACGUGCCAGCAGCCGCGGUAAUACGUAGGGUGCAAGCGUUAUCCGGAAUUAUUGGGCGUAAAGAGCUCGUAGGCGGUUUGUCACGCCUGGUGUGAAAGUCCAUCGCUUAACGGUGGAUCUGCGCCGGGUACGGGCAGGCUAGAGUGCAGUAGGGGAGAUUGGAAUUCCCGGUGUAACGGUGGAAUGUGUAGAUAUCGGGAAGAACACCAAUGGCGAAGGCAGAUCUCUGGGCUGUUACUGACGCUGAGGAGCGAAAGCAUGGGGAGCGAACAGGAUUAGAUACCCUGGUAGUCCAUGCCGUAAACGGUGGAUGCUGGAUGUGGGACCCUUCCACGGGUUCCGUGUCGGAGCUAACGCGUUA